AUUUCAAUGCAAUUGGGUUCCAUCGUAAAUCAAGGCAGCAAGGUGUUUUUGAAUCGCUCCAUAGGGAUCUGAUUGUUGGAUUCAGUAACUGGGAGUUCGAUCCUAUGAAUAUCAGCAAUCCAUUCCAGGACAGGGAGGGCUCUGUGAGUAUCUGGCAAGGCUAUGAAGACAAGCUGGUCCCUGUGGAACUACAACGCUAUGUUGCUAAGAAGCUACCCUGGAUACAGUAUCACGAGAAUCCCACAGGAGGGCAUCUCUUCAUGUAUGUCGAUGGUUGGACUGA
rnacentral:misc_RNA from 1 species